UGCAAAUUCCUUACACCGGCAGUGUAUCAUAGCAAGUUCCUUACACUAGCAAAUUCUGUGUUUUUGUAUUUUUGUCGAUGCAAGCCUGUUCUUCGACUAUAAAAGGAGCAGAGAUUUCUUUUCUUGUCAAGUCUAAUCCUUUUUUGAUGCAUUGCAGAUUGCUAUGAAACUCUCAAAAAGGAAAAUCAGCUUUAUUCUAAUUUGGCAAAGCUUGGAGGAUAUUUUUACAGGUUCAACGCUUGCUUUAUUGCUUUCUUACCUUCCGUUCUUCAAGACAAUAUUUUCCUAGCAGUGCUCGAUAACUUUAAAUCCAUAUUUUUGUUCUUUGCAUUAUCAUAAAAUGGUGUUGUUCUAUCUUUUUGUUUUUUGAUUGAUCAUCAGCAACGACAAUGCAACCUACAUGUCCUACUUUUACUACUGAGCUUACCAUCAGAACCACAGCCCGAUGAGAACAUUCUAAACUAACUGAAGAUGGCUUCCUUCCCUUUUAUGGUACAUGCUUGGGAAUACUAAUUAUAGCUGACAGAAAAUGUGCUUUUUUAGCAUGAAGAUAAGAUGAUGGGAAAGGAUGAUCUUCAUGAGCCUCAGUGGUACUAUCAUAUUAUCAUAACUGCUGCAAAGUUCAUAUAAUGAUCCCUGUUUCAGACUCAGAUCAAAGGAACAAGCUGAUCAAUACGUUUCAGCCAUGGAAUACUGCGUCAGGAUAAAAGAUCGAGUUGAGCAUACUGCGAUGUUUUGACAGGAGAUUCCGUUAGCUUUCAGACAAAGUAAUCCAGUAGAUAGGUCAACAGAUUUUGAAGGAACAACAAGCCUUCAAUGAACUCAGCCGGUAAUAGAAGUAGCAAUUCUCUCAACACAUGCUCCACAGCACGACGACGGCGAGCAUCCGGAGAAAUCAUCUGCGUACAUCCUAAAGAUUGGUGAUGGAGAUGCUACCCAGUGCAUGAGUGGAUUCAUAGCCAUGGACAUUCCUCCUCCCUAUGGACCUAUCUGGUAAAAUUAUGCGCGGCUUAUGUUCUCAGAGCCUUCUGCUUUUAUCGACAUUGACCUCUUCUUAGUGUACU